rnacentral:ribozyme from 14 species
AUCCCAAUUCUUUUUCUUUUUUUUCUUUUUUCUUUUUUUCGGAGACAGAAUCAGAGAGAAAGAGAGAGAAAGAGAGAAUA